rnacentral:tRNA from 1 species
GCGCCAUUAGCUCAAUAGGCAGAGCAGCUGACUCUUAAUCAGCGGGUUUGGGGUUCGAGUCCCUGAUGGCGCA